GGUCCCGUCUCAGAGGUCUGUCCUAACUCUGAGGCAGGUCCCGUCUCAGAGGUCUGUUCUGACUCUGAGGCAGGUCCUGACUUGGAGACAGGUCCUAACUCAGAGACAGGUCCUGACUCUGAGGCAGGUCCUGACUCUGAGGCAGGUCCCGUUGCAGAGGUCUGUUCUGACUCUGAGGCAUGUCCCGUCUCAGAGGUCUGUCCUGACUCUGAGGC